UACGAAGGGGGCUAGCGUUGUUCGGAGUUACUGGGCGUAAAGGGCGCGUAGGCGGCCCUCCAAGUCGGGCGUGAAAGCCCACGGCUCAACCGUGGAAUUGCGCUCGAGACUGAAGGGCUCGAGGACGGGAGAGGAUGGUGGAAUUCCCAGUGUAGAGGUGAAAAUUCGUAGAUAUUGGGAAGAACACCGGUGGCGAAGGCGGCCAUCUGGACCGCAACGUGACGCUGAGGCGCGAAAGCGUGGGGAGCAAACA
rnacentral:rRNA from 1 species